UCUGUAUAUUUGGGGCUCUUCUGAAGGGUUGAAUGAAAACUCUCAGUGACUUCUGAGAUGACUUUGCAAACUUCGGCCAAACUGUUUCUUAAAAGAGUGUAUAAGGAUCCCAGUUUGAUUUGGAGCUUUCCCAGCAUGGUCUUAACUGCAGAGUACUUGAUUCUCUUGAAAUAGGCUGCAAGUUUCACACUCUGAGACUGAAUCCCAUUAGCAUCGUCCGGGUCCUGGGGAGAAACAUUGAUUUAAAAGUAGUUGAAAUGAAGCACAGAAACAAACUAUUAAAGCUAAGGGCUGAGCAGUGGCAGCCCUUUGGGGACCACCAGCAGCAGUGUUCUCAUCCUACCAGGCUGCAGCCUCUGCC